UAGAUAAAAAGGAAGAAAAUGUCUAUAAUUCCCUAGAUACCCCUUCGUUUUGGCCGGCUUCUCAUCUUCUUCUUUUUUCUUGGAGAGUAAUCUACCCCCAUUUGGGGAUUCUAGGGUUUCAUGGAGGCCCGGAGAACGCCGCGCGAGCGGGAUUCGGAAUCAUCUAUAGGAUACGCCUUGAGAAUUUCAUGCGCCAUAGCUGUCUGACGAUCGAGCUACACGACUAGGUGGGAGUGCGAUUCUGACGGUGUUACGCCUAUUGUUUGGUUCCCAAACCAAGGGCACGCGGCUUCGUCUCUCAAAAAUUUCAUCAAGAAUGGUUGUAAGUAAUUUUAGAUACUAAGAACUUAUCUUGCUUUGGUCUUUGUGAAUUUGUUGGAUAAUUUCUUUUGGUGAUUUUUCAAUACUUGUGAGCUUAUUAUGGAUUUCAUUUUGCAAUUAGAACCUUAACAAGAAUUCAUCUUCUUUAACAAAAAUUUAUAUGUUGGAAUGCCUUUUGGAAUGGUUGAUUUUAUGGAGAAUCACUCUUGCAAUGCAUUUGUUAUUGUUGUAUUGGUUGGGAUGCUCCUGAAGUGGGGAAGGUCAAACAUGGGCUUCUCUUGGUAGCCAUUGAAGUGAUUUCUCUUGAAUUGUUCUUCGAGUAAUGCUGCUAUUUUUGUGGAAAUAAAACACCAAGGGGAAGAGGCUUUCAAGCAUGAAACUUAUGGUAAUCUAAUAAUACUUAAGUGCAAGAUCACAGAGAGUACUAGCGGCAUUGAUUUGAAGGACUGUCAAGGUUGUUGGAAAUGUUUUACUUUAGUUUUUUUCUUACAUGUUUCGAUGCCUUAUAGUUAAUUUUGUUGUUUUAUGGCUUUCUCAAGGAGGAAAGUUGCGACUGAGCUUGUGGAACAUUUUAAUAAGUACCUUUAUCGCAUGGGCCUUGCUGUCAAUGCAGAUCAUGUAAUUUGAUAAAGAGUUCAAGUAUGAGAUAAAUAUUGAAGAAUGGAGGAAAUAAUCUCAAGCAGGAGUUUCCAGAGAUGUAUCAUUUGUAUAUACAAGGGUAUAUUCUUUUUCCCACCAUGUUUGUUUUGUAACUUAGACUGUGGACAUUUUCCCUUUACCUAUAUUGAAAAUGCAUUUUACAUUGUAGCUCACUUAAAAAGUGUUAUUUAAAGUGAGAAAGACGCUCAGGAAAGGCGAGGCCCUAACACCUUAACACCCUCAGGGCGAGGCGCCGUAAAUGAGGCAAGCCCAGGCAAGCGCUUUAUGCCGAGCGCCAACCAUAAAAAAGCACGCCUGU